AUUGAACGCUGGCGGCAUGCUUUACACAUGCAAGUCGAACGGUAACAGGGUGCUUGCACCGCUGACGAGUGGCGUACGGGUGAGUAAUGCGUCGGAACGUGCCGAGUAGUGGGGGAUAACGCAGCGAAAGUUGUGCUAAUACCGCAUACGUACUGAGGUAGAAAGUGGGGGACCUUCGGGCCUCACGCUAUUCGAGCGGCCGACGUCUGAUUAGCUAGUAGGUGAGGUAAAGGCUCACCUAGGCGACGAUCAGUAGCGGGUCUGAGAGGAUGAUCCGCCACACUGGGACUGAGACACGGCCCAGACUCCUACGGGAGGCAGCAGUGGGGAAUUUUGGGCAAUGGGCGAAAGCCUGAUCCAGCCAUGCCGCGUGUCUGAAGAAGGCCUUCGGGUUGUAAAGGACUUUUGUCAGGGAGGAAAUCCCUAGUGCUAAUAACACUGGGGGAUGACAGUACCUGAAGAAUAAGCACCGGCUAACUACGUGCCAGCCGCCGCGGUAA
rnacentral:rRNA from 1 species